ACGGGAGGCAGCAGUGGGGAAUUUUGGACAAUGGGCGCAAGCCUGAUCCAGCAAUGCCGCGUGAGUGAAGAAGGCCUUCGGGUUGUAAAGCUCUUUUGUCAGGGAAGAAACGGUGCGGGCUAAUAUCCUGUGCUAAUGACGGUACCUGAAGAAUAAGCACCGGCUAACUACGUGCCAGCAGCCGCGGUAAUACGUAGGGUGCAAGCGUUAAUCGGAAUUACUGGGCGUAAAGCGUGCGCAGGCGGUUUUGUAAGUUUGUCGUGAAAGCCCCGGGCUCAACCUGGGAAUUGCGAUGAAGACUGCAAGGCUUGAAUCUGGCAGAGGGGGGUAGAAUUCCACGUGUAGCAGUGAAAUGCGUAGAGAUGUGGAGGAACACCGAUGGCGAAGGCAGCCCCCUGGGUCAAGAUUGACGCUCAUGCACGAAAGCGUGGGGAGCAAACAGGAUUAGAUACCCUGGUAGUCCACGCCCUAAACGAUGUCUACUAGUUGUCGGGUUUUAAUUAACUUGGUAACGCAGCUAACGCGUGAAGUAGACCGCCUGGGGAGUACGGUCGCAAGAUUAAAACUCAAAGGAAUUGACGGGGACCCGCACAAGCGGUGGAUGAUGUGGAUUAAUUCGAUGCAACGCGAAAAACCUUACCUACCCUUGACAUGUACGGAAGGCCGGAGAGAUCUGGCUGUGCUCGAAAGAGAACCGUAACACAGGUGCUGCA
rnacentral:rRNA from 1 species